AUUGAACGCUGGCGGCAUGCCUAACACAUGCAAGUCGAACGGUAACGCAGAGAGCUUGCUCUUUGGCGACGAGUGGCGGACGGGUGAGUAAUGCUUGGGAAUCUGCCCAGUAGUGGGGGACAACUCGGGGAAACUCGAGCUAAUACCGCAUACGCCCUACGGGGGAAAGCGGGGGAUCUUCGGACCUCGCGCUAUUGGAUGAGCCUAAGUCGGAUUAGCUUGUUGGUGAGGUAACGGCUCACCAAGGCGACGAUCCGUAGCUGGUCUGAGAGGACGAUCAGCCACACUGGGACUGAGACACGGCCCAGACUCCUACGGGAGGCAGCAGUGGGGAAUAUUGGACAAUGGGGGCAACCCUGAUCCAGCAAUGCCGCGUGUGUGAAGAAGGCCUGCGGGUUGUAAAGCACUUUCAGUAGAGAAGAAAAGCUUACGGUUAAUACCCGUGAGUCUUGACGUAACCUACAGAAGAAGCACCGGNUAACUCCGUG
rnacentral:rRNA from 1 species